GACGAACGCUGGCGGCGUGCUUAACACAUGCAAGUCGUACGGUAAGGCCCUUUCGGGGGUACACGAGUGGCGAACGGGUGAGUAACACGUGAGUAACCUGCCCACAACUUUGGGAUAACGCUAGGAAACUGGUGCUAAUACUGGAUAUGUGCCCCUGCUGCAUGGUGGGGGUUGGAAAGCUCCGGCGGUUGUGGAUGGACUGGCGGGCUAUCGGCUUGUUGGUGGGGUAGUGGGCUACCAAGGCGGCGACGGGUAGCCGGCCUGAGAGGGUGACCGGCCACAUAGAGACUGAGAGACGGCCGAAACACCGACGGGAGGGAAAAGGGGGGAAGAUUGAACAAUGGACGCAAGCCUGAUGCAGCAAGGCCGCGGGCGGGAAGACGGCCUUCGGGUGGAAGACCGCUUUCAGCAGUGACGAAGCUUGUUGUGACGGUACCUACAGAAGAAGCAACGGCUAACUACGUG
rnacentral:rRNA from 1 species